UUGUGAAAAGGUGAUAUGAAACCCUAGUAUUUAUAGGCUAAAUGGGGUUGUAGUUGAUUGCAAGGUGAUCCCAACAAUUAAGCCAAAGUUUUGAACGUUUUUCCUUAUUUGGCUCCUCCAAAUCAAGCUAGAUAUUCCAAUUCCUUUCCCAUUCUGCUCCUGGUGUUCUAACAAGACAGAUUUGCUUUGGAUUCUUUAUUUGGGCUUCAAAACAAGUAACAAUUUAUUUCCACGUUUGAAUAACGGUCAACCAAAAAAAUGGCAUCUUUUCACUUAUUUUGCCUUCAAAUUGAUCCUAAAGUACAUGUAACUAUACACUAAUACAAAAUAAGGUAAAAUGCAACCAAUUUAACUUAAAAACAUCACAAAGAGACUAGAAAUGGAUGGUAUAAAUGCAUGAAAUAUAUGAGUUAUCAAAUACCCCAAAACCUAGUUUUUGCUAGUCCUCGAGCAAAACUAUAACUAAAAACACACAAAAACAAUAAAAUCUAACUAUACCACUUUCGUUGGCUAAACGAUUGCAUUGAGCAUGUGCAACAAGCCUUUAAACCUCUAGGUGUCCCUAGUCAGAGGAGUUGUGUCUCCUGAGGGUUUACAGUGAUGAUGCCCACAAACAUCUACAGACUCUGCAAACAAAUUGGUUAAAGCAUACUUCAAUCAAAACUAAUAAGAACCAAUGAAAGCUUAGUCAUACAUCCAAACCAAAAGUCUGCCACUUCAAUGAAUUGUAUCAUGUGUAAAGUGUAAAAAUAUUACUCUAUGAUUCAUGACUUCAAAGACACCAUACUCAAAUGCUAAAGAUAGAAUUCGCCUCAACUUUAUUCCUCACAGAUAUCACUUAAAUUUUCACUCAGAUCCUAAGGUGUAAUCUCUCCAUAAACAUAUGUGAGUGAAAUUAUGUAAAAGGGAUUCAAAAAUUCUCACAUAUGAAAUAUGAAAUAAAAGCACAAUUUCUUAAUAGAUCUCAUGAAAUGAAUCAAAUACUAAAAAUAUGGAUAGCACACGUACUUACCAGCACCUAUGAAUACAUCCCCAAAGAUCAGCUAGGUCUUUCACAAGGUUAUAAUGUAAAGCUUAGGCUAUGGGCUAUGAAAGAAAGGAUAAGAAAUACUAGAUCUUGGGACAUACCAAAGUGUCUUUGUUGUGAAACCAGCAAAGCUUAAUCUAUCUUUGUCUUCACCACUUUGGUAUUCCCCAAACUAUAAGGUAUGGUUGUAAUGGGCUAAAAUUGAUAGAGUUUGGUAUGGGUGAUGAAGGAACUAGGCUAAAAGUGUUUGGCUGCAACAUGGGUAAAUAGAGCACACAAAGGGAUGGGAAUUAGGCCUUUUAGUGGUUAAAACAUGCAUAACCUAACAUCAUCUCAAUGAGUUCAUUCAUAGGUGAUAAUAAACACAUGGUAUCUGCAACAUAGGAUUAUUCUUAGCAUUCAAUCAAAGAGAAAUAAUGAGAUCAUUUAAAGUGAAAUUGAAAGAAAAAGAUAAGAGCAGAAACACUUUAAACCCUCUCAAAGAAGCAAAUAGGCUCAAAAUAACUCACUAAGGUAGUCUCCACUAUUCUUCUUCCAGAAUUUGCGCAUGGUACUUUAACAAUCAUAAUUCCAAGAGUAACAGCUUUGUAAAAGAAAAUAAGAUACGAAACUUUUUCAUGACAACACUAUAGUUUUGUUUGUAAACAUAGCCCUCAUAUACAUUCACAUUAGUAAGCAAAAGCAAACUUAACCAAAACUAAAAACAAACGAAAAUUUUCAAUCCCACACCCCCAAACCUAAACUAAGCAUUGUCCUCGAUGCUUAAAAAUGAAUGGAAUGCAUGCAAUGUAAAUAGGCAGAGCGUGUGGAACUAAAAGACACAAAUAAAAGGAAAGAACACAAACCCAGCUAGGUUGCCUCCUAGCAAGCGCUUUCUUUAACGUCUAGGCAAGACGUGGUGGGUAUGAUGGAUGAACGCCUAGGGUGGCAGGAAGUCAAGGUACCUCCGAACCUUGGUCAAAAGAAGUGGUUUCUUUUGAUGGACUUUGAAUAUGCUGCGUUGAAUUUUGACAAAGACUUGAUUGUGAUGGUGUUUUCGUCUCUCCUUGCGAAGAAGCAGAUCCUCAAAAAAAUUUGAAGAUGUGGGCGGAGCAAUAAUUUCAAUGGAUGAGUUUGUGGCUACUAAGGAUGAAUGAAAUUCGUGCAAGGCAGCAAUCUCAUCGUCUAGCUCUGAAUCUUCUUUUCUUAUGGUGAAUGUGCAACAAUGAUUUGUCAUCCAACUUCAAUUUAUUUUCCUCUUGAUAUGGCAGCAAAUCAUCUCCAAAAGACUCCAAAUAUGGCACCUGAAAAGAUGUAAAACAACAUGGAGAAUCCGGCACUGAUUUUGAAAAACAUUCAAUUAAAUUAAGGGAUAGAGGAAGAGCUUCAAACACUAUGUGCGACCCAGUUUCACUAAGCACAUCUAUGGGUGACUCAUCAUGCUUUUAUUUGACAAAUCUCCCUGGAAAAUGAAUUGGUGGAACAUAUGGCUUGGGAGGAAUGAAAGGCUCUUCAUCUUUAUGAAGCUCAAGAACCUCAUGAAAAUAUGCACAGCAAGCUUCCUUUGGUAGUUCCUCAUCCUCUUCUUGAUCAUCACCACCAGAUUGAUGUUCAUUUAACGCUUGGACAAUUUGCCCCAACUGAAUUUCCAACUUGGUAAGUGCAAUUGAGUGUUCUUGAAUCAUGCUACUCGUUGAUUAUUGAAAUUGUAAAGUGCUUUGAGCAAGUAGCUCGAAAGUGUCCUCCAAUAAAGUGUCAAAGGAUUCCCGCUGUGAUGGAGGUGCAAAUGCUUGAUUUGAAGCUUCUAUGUUGUUCCAAGAGCCAUGAUCAGAGUUCCUCCAAGAAGGGCUAUAUGUGUUUGACAAUGGUUGCAGUGGCUCUUGGUUAGAGAAACACAUGCAGUGUAAGUACUCUUGGACAAAUGUAGGAAACUCAUCUUUCCUUAGGCAGAACUGAAAAGGAUGACCAGUCUUAGAACAUAAUGGACAUACACCAUACAUCUUUUUAUACCACGUAAAAGCAAACAACCUAAAAUGUAAAUUGAAAAUCUAAACUAAGAAAAGAAAAAACAGAUAGGGUUUAUAAAGCAAGCAAUUAAAGGGGAUUGAAAUCAGUCCCCGACAAUGGCGCCAAAAUUUUGUUGUGUUCUUUUCAAGUACAAAUAUAAGGAUAGUAAAAUAGCACAAGUAAGGGUGUCUAACCACAGGGACUUAUUAGACCUCUACAAAUUACUAUUUUUAUGUGAACCCUAACUAAACAAUGAAACUAACAAAUUGAGUUUGGAUUUUGAUUUGAAAAGUAAAGUAACUUAAUAUGCAAGAGAAUGUAAAUAAGAAUAAUAGAAUGAUUCAGAAACGAUGGGAAUGGAACUAGGGAUACCGAUUUCACCAUUACAAGCCAAUUCCAUGAAAAUUAAGUCAAAACACAUUCAACUGUCCAAUGUGCAACUAAGGUUCGUUUUACUCAUUUAUGAUCAUCCAUUUGAUGUGUGGGUGUGAUCAAGUACUCCUAAUCUGCAACCUAGUUGUGAUGUUCAACUUAGAUUACCAACUAAGAAUCCAUUAAGAACAAGAAAACUUCAAAGAACCAAAGAAAUCACAUGGCAGGAUGUAUGCAUAGCAGUUUCUUCAUUCAUUCACAUGUCUACCAAGAUUAAGCAUGAUGUGUACUAUAACCUUGAUCAAAUAAUUCAUAAGCAGUCCUAAUGGUGAUCAAACAUUAAGAUUAACAAACAAAUUAAACUAUAAAAUCAAUGAAUGAAACAAUAACACAUAUUGGUAAUUUGAAUACUUUAACUUAAUAACAAAGAGUAGUUUUGCAAGGCUAUAUCGAAAUCCCCAGCUAUGAACUUAAUUACACAACAUGAUUACAAAAUAUAUAAACAUCAAGAACAACAUGAGUGAAAUUAAAGUUCAUAGAAGAAACCCCCUUAAAGCAAUUCUGAUGUUGAACUUCUCCAAUAACAGCACGGCUGCGUGGUUUCUUUGGUGGCUGCUGAUGUGAAGGAAAAUAGGGUUUUGUUUUUGGAAGAAAGGCUAAAGAAAGAGAAGAUAGAGCUAUGGGCGACCCUAAGAGGGCUUAUGAAAAAGUAAUCUGAAACCCUAGUAUUUAUAGGCUAAAUGGGGCUGUAGCUGAUUGCAAGGUGAUCCCAACCAUUAAGCCAAAGUUUAAACCUUUUUCCUUAUUUGGCUCCUCCAAAUCAAGCUAGAUAUUCCAAUUCCUUUCCCAUUUUGCUCCUAGUCUUCUAACAUGCCAGAUUCGCUUUGGAUUCUUUAUUUGGGCUGCAAAACAAGUAACAAUUUAUUUCCACGUUUAAAUAAGGGUCAACCCAACAAAUGGCAUAUUUUCACUUCUUUUGCCUUCAAAUUGAUCCUAAAGUACAUGUAACUGCACAAUAACACAAAAUAAGGUAAAAUGCAACCAGUUUAACUCAAAAACAUCACAAAGAGACUAGAAAUGGAUGGUAUAAAUGCAUGAAAUAUAUGAGUUAUCAGUCUCUAAAUUUAGUCUCUUUAGCAUUACUCUUUUACAAUCAUCAAUUGAAAAAAAAAGAAGUAAACUCCAACUCAAGGAAAUAGGGGUGGG
rnacentral:lncRNA from 1 species